CCCCUUGGUUCAUAAAGCCUACAAGAAAUUCUAUUCUUAAUAGGUCUCCUUGAAUCUAAUCUUAAGUCAUGGUGUAGUGCUUAAUAUUCUAUGAUUCACUUAGCCGGGUUUUCAAAAUUUAAUGAAUAAAUAAUUGAAAGCUAAAAUUCUUGAGUUAAGGACACCAACAAUAUCCUUACUCGACUUUCUUUAAUAAUUGGAAUUAUAAAUAAAACC
rnacentral:lncRNA from 1 species